AAACAAAUUAAAUAAUCUUCUUUUCUUUUGUCUCUUUUCACAAAUCUUCUGCAUCGCUAAGAGUUUUCGAUUGCUCGAAGACAAACACGACGCCUGAAAUAUCUUCCCCAGAGAAUCACAUUCCCUCUUCAGCUUCAGAAUGAGUUCAAAAUGGAAACACUCUGGUGAUGAAGGGGAGAAAGGAAUGCCUAAAACUUGUAGAUGUGGAGAAGCUUCUUUAAUUAGAACUUCAAAAACCUAUGAAAAUCCAGGGAGGCUUUUCCAUUGUUGUCCAAAUGGAUCAAAAAAGGAAAAAAACCAUUUGCUUAAGUGGACAGAUGAAGCAGUUGUCGAAGAAAUUGAUGAUAUAAAGGACAGCUAUGGGCAGAAGAUAAAAGAGAUGAAUGACGUCAUUGUUGAAUUUGAGAAGGAGAUCGAAGAGAUGAAAACUACCGUCUAUGGUUGUGAUAAAGAGUUUAAAGAUUUCGUUGUUGAGGUUCGAAGCUUGAGAAACAUAAUUGUUUGUGGAUUUACCAUGUGUAUCCUCUACUAUUGUGUUAUAGCAUUAUAUGUGUAACUUACCUGGAAUUAAGGAAGCAACUAAGAGCAUGAUUAUUGCGAAGUUA